AUGAAGAGCUCAGCGAAAGCUUUGAAGAUCCAAUACCCCUUUCCACUGGUAUUGAAACAUCCCACCAUGAACGAGACAUUGGGGAUAUUCUCUGUGAGCUGGCCUCCCAGAUUGAUACAGAAAAUGUUUCCCUGUUUAAUAUCAGCCGGAAUCACCUAUGGGAAGGAGCGAAACGAGGCUUUAAAAAAAAAACUUUCUUACCUUGCAAAAGGCUUUCGGUGAAAUUUAUGGACGAUAUAGGAGUGAGCGAAGGAGCCGUCGACCUCGGAGGACCAAGGAGAGAAUUUUUAACCAUGCUAAUGGAGUCCUUGCACCAAGGAAGCCUCUUUGUAGGACCAGACCAUGCCAAGUUCCUAAACUACAUUAGUGGAUUGAUGGUCUCGGAUGACUAUUUUUAUGCGGGUAUGACUAUUGCAACAUCACUGGUUCAUGGAGGACCUGGCCCACAGUUCUUAUCACCAGUACUUUUGGAGGCGCUUUCAA